CGUGCCCCGAGCUGAUUGCCAGAUUUAUGGAAAAGGUGAAUAAGGCUAGUAAAUUUGAGAAGCGUGAAAUCAGAACGGCGCCUAAGCAUACGGAGAGAUUUACUUUGACUAUGAAGUCUACAGGCAGACGUAUUUCUAAACGUAAUGGAAAUAAACAAAGAGCUACCUAUUAUGAUGCUGAAUAAAGAAGGGA